GUGCAGCAGCUAAAGCAUUAAGCACUCCGCCUGGGGAGGACGGUAGCAAGAAUGAAAAUCAAAGGAAUUGACGGGGGCCCCAACAAGCGGAGGAGCAUGUGGUUUAAUUCGAAGCAACGCGAAGAACCUUACCAGGUCUUGNCAUCUUGAUACACCCCUAGAGAUAGGGUUUCCCCUUCGGGGGCAGAGUGACAGGUGGUGCAUGGUUGUCGUCAGNUGUUGUCGUGAGAUGUUGGGUUAAGUCCCGCAACGAGCGCAAUCCUUGAUCUUAGUUGCCAGCAUUCAGUUGGGCAUUAUAAGGGGACUCCCGGGGACAAUCCGGAGGAAGGGGGGGAGGAGGUCAAAUCACCAUGCCCCUUAGGACCUGGGUUCCACCCGUGCUCCAAUGGCCAGACCAAAGGGCAGCGAGACCGCGAGGUUAAGCCAAUCCCNCAAAUCUGUUNCCAGUUCGGAUCGCAGUCUGCAACUCGNNCCCGUGAAGCUGGAAUCGUUAGUAUUCGCGGAUCAGCAUGCCGCGGUGAAUACGUUCCCGGGCCUUGUACACACCGCCCGUCACACCACGAGAGUUUGUAACACCCGAAGUCGGUG
rnacentral:rRNA from 1 species